AGGACGAACGCUGGCGGCGUGCUUAACACAUGCAAGUCGAGCGGUAAGGCCUUUCGGGGUACACGAGCGGCGAACGGGUGAGUAACACGUGGGUGAUCUGCCCUGCACUUCGGGAUAAGCCUGGGAAACUGGGUCUAAUACCGGAUAUGACCUCCUAUCGCAUGGUGGGUGGUGGAAAGAUUUAUCGGUGCAGGAUGGGCCCGCGGCCUAUCAGCUUGUUGGUGGGGUAAUGGCCUACCAAGGCGACGACGGGUAGCCGACCUGAGAGGGUGACCGGCCACACUGGGACUGAGACACGGCCCAGACUCCUACGGGAGGCAGCAGUGGGGAAUAUUGCACAAUGGGCGAAAGCCUGAUGCAGCGACGCCGCGUGAGGAUGACGGCCUUCGGGUUGUAAACCUCUUCAGCAGGACGAAGCGCGAGUGACGGUACCUGCAGAAGAAGCACCGGCUAACACGUGACCAGCCAGCCGC
rnacentral:rRNA from 1 species